rnacentral:rRNA from 1 species
UACGGGGGGAGCAAGCGUUGUUCGGAUUUACUGGGCGUAAAGGGCGCGUAGGCGGCCUCUGCAAGUCGACUGUGAAAUCUCCGGGCUUAACCCGGAAAGGUCAGCCGAUACUGCAGGGCUAGAGUGCAGAAGGGGCAACUGGAAUUCUUGGUGUAGCGGUGAAAUGCGUAGAUAUCAAGAGGAACACCUGAGGUGAAGACGGGUUGCUGGGCUGACACUGACGCUGAGGCGCGAAAGCUAGGGUAGCAAACGGG